CACGUCCAGCUAGGAGGAGAUUCACACGGCUCCUCGGGCUUGCUGCAAUACCCUCUAGGAUCACCUGCCUCCCUUUGCCCUAAUUCUAGGUUCAUUAAAGCACCUUCUGUUCUGUGCUUCUGACCCACUUACUCCCACUGACUCACCUCCUGCCCCCUACCCUCCUCGGGACAAAGUAUCCUAUGCAGACAAGGUCGGGCCACGGCGCCCAGUGUGCAGCCCUCGGCAGUGAGUUAGGAGAUGGGCUGGCAGGUUAUGAUGACUCUCUUUUGAGCCAGGCUGCACUGUGGGCACUCAAAAACCAGAAGGGCAGAUAGAAAAAAAUAGUGGAUCCUCUGAAAGUGCCCAGAUGAGGAAGAGAGCCUGGGGCCAUGGGGAUGCGCAGAACAGCCUGUCUGUCUCUCUCAGUCAAUUCUGAUGACUCCUUGCACCCGUAGGGUGACAGCCAACUUCACAGGGAGGCCCAGAAGUCUGGACUGGGUACUCUGAAGUCCAGAUUGAGGACAGGACUUGCCUGAAGUCUCGCAGCAAGGUCUUGCUUUGUCACCCAGGCUGGAGUGCAAUGGUACAAUCACAGCUCACUGCAGCCUCCACCUCCCAGGCUUAAGCCAUCCUCCGAUCUGAGCCUCCCAAAGUGCUGGGAUUACAGGAGUGCGUCACUGUGCCCGGCCCCAUCAUCAUUUAUUGAGUACUGAUUCUGGGCAGGGGGACACACUAACUGCUGAAAGGACACCAGAUCUGAAUCCGUCCCUGUCCUCAAGAAGCUCCAGGCUUAGGGAGGGAUGAGACAUACGCGUGAGAAAGCUCAGACCCCAGUCACAACAGCCUGGGUGUGAAUCUCCACUCUGCAUUUCCUGCUGUGAGUCAUCAAGCAAACCACGCAACCUCUGAGCCUCUGCUAUGUCCUGCGUGCAAUGGGGAGAAGAGUCCCUACCCUGACAUCACACUUCCAAGGCACAGGCACUGUCUGUCCUGAGCACCUCAUUUCAGGCUCCAAGCUCAGGAAACGCUCGCUCGCUACUGGAGGAAUGUUACAUCUUGAAGCAGCCUUGGCUCUGUCUGGGGAGGAUGACGUCACAGCUGCUGAGGAAGAAACCACGCCCAGCCGGCAGAACCCCAGAGGGCCCACCCGAGAGCUCCAAAGAAGUAGGAGGAACCAGAGGUCACAUCGCUCAGGAGGAAGAAACCUGCAUUGGCCAAGAGAGGCAUCCUACAGAGAGGCCCAGUGAUGGCUAUACUGAGACCAGAGGUGUCAAAUUAAGAGUUGUACUGGCUUCUGUCGUGUGGAAACAGCUGUGCUCUGGUGGCAGGGGCAAUGCCCUUUGCCAGAGAAAACCUGGCCUGCCCCACCGCUUCCGGGCUGGUGACUUGGGCCUGUGGCUCGGCUUCCUUAAGGCUCAGUGUUUUUGUCUGAAAUUGAGAUGGGGCCGGGUGCGGUGGCUUAUGCCUGUAAUCCCAGCACUUUGGGUGACUGAGGCGGAAGGAUCGCUUGAGCUCAGGAGUUUGAGACCAGCCUGAGCAAUACAGUGAGACCCCAUCUCUACAAAAAAAUUUAAAAAUUUGCCGGGCAUGAUGGCGCAUGCCAGUGGUCCCAGCUACUCAGGAGAUGGAGGUGGGAGGAUCACUUGAGCCAGGGAGGUCCAGGCUGGAAUAAGCCAUGAUCACACCACUGGGCAACAGAGCAACUCUGUCUCAGAAAAAAAAAAAAAAAAAAAAACCCAAAACUGGAAAUGAUCAUAAUGGCUCCACUGGGGAGUUGGGAGGAUUCAAUGAGAUAUGGGGUACAGAGUCUUCUGGUGCACCCCGAAUAUAGGAAAUACUCCUCAUGCUUGCUGCAUGCUGGCAGGGGAGAAGUAAUAGGACACCUCUCUUCUGGCCACAGUGUGCCAGUUAAACAUGUUGCCCCUUGGUGACUCACUGUCUGGCUUCAAUCUGACCUUGCCGCAUGAUCUUUAGGCCCAUCAACCAGUUCCUCUGUGCCUCCGUGUCCUUAUUUCUAAGAGGGUAAUGAUGAUACUAUCUGCCUCCCAAGACUUAGGGGAGUUCAAUUCAUAUACGUGUAAAAUUUACAAGUGCCCAACACACAGUAAGCACUCAAUAAAUGUUAACUUUGCUAGUAGAAUGAAGUUUGCUUAAGAUUUUUUGGUAUUUGGAAUGGCUCAGACUAGAAUCCUGGAAUUAGAGAGAAAUAGCGUCCCUGGGGAAGUGGACCAGGAUUUCCUCAUUUAAAAAGAUUAGGGGCUGGGGGCCGGG
rnacentral:lncRNA from 1 species